AUAUAUGUGGGAAUGAAUGUCGAGUGGAAUGGAACGUGACAGAAUAUGAGGGAGGCGUGAGCGAGUGAGCGAAGGAGUGAGAGAGAGGGACUGAAUGAACGGUGUUAGAGGCAACCACGCGGUACUGAGUGUAACGAACGAGCCAAAGUUGUUGAAAUAAAAGUUGUAAUAAGUGUUUAAAACGGGAUUUUAUUUCAAAGUCAUCGAUCCCCGGCACGAAGAGAGCUACAGAUUUUGGGGGCUCGUCCGGGAUCGAUCAACGACGAAUUUCCACGAAGUUUUCUACGACGCACCGGCCGGCGCGACGCGGCGGCCAUUAAAUUUGAAUUACGAAGUUACGGAGCACGAUGGAAUCGAAAUCAACGACGAUUACGACUGCAGCGGCGCCGGUGGCGUUCGGGCUCACAGAGGGGCUCAUCGAGAAGUUCAGCGGAGACGACAAAUCUUACUCGUCGAGUAAGUGGGCUCAAGACAUCGAGGAUAACGCUGAGAUAUUUCAGUGGACGCCGCAACAAACUUUGAUCGUAGCUCGCCGGUCACUCACCGGGACGGCUGAGCUAUGGUUAAAAUCCGAGAAGGCAUUCAAAACCUACGGCGAUCUCAAGGCUGCGCUUGUGAAGGAAUUUCCAGACACCGCGAACGUCAAGGAAAUGCACGAGCUAAUGGCGGCACGCAAGAAAUUAAAAGGCGAGACGUAUUAUCAGUACAUGUUGCAUAUGAAAGAGCUAGCGCGGCGUGCGAAAUUUCCCGACUACAUCGCGAUACAGUACAUCGUGGAUGGCAUCGACGAUUACGAGAGCAAUAAGGUGAUUCUGUACGGCGUGACCACGUUUCCAGCAUUGAAGGAAAAGCUGGCUUUCUAUGAGAAAAUGAAGUCCAAAACCAGGGAGCGAGAAAAGAGAACCGAGAGGUUAAAAGGUCAUGCGAGGUCGGCGGAGGCGUCCUCGGCAGCAUCGGGAUCGGCGAGGCGGUGCUAUAGCUGUGGUGACAUGGGACAUGAAGCGGGUGUGUGUAAAAACGGAUUGAAGUGUUUUGGGUGUAAUCAGUUCGGUCACAUUCGUAACCAGUGUCCCGUAAAUCCGAUGAGAUCUACGGCUACAGCAUCGGCAUCGGGUCAUUCAGGCGCCAAGAUGGCGGGCGCAGGCGGCAGCGGCGCUCACGGCGGCCGAGGAGGCGGGGCUUCCGGUUCCGGGGAGGCCGGAAAGUUGGGACCCAAGCGACCCGCGGCUAUGUUCGGAACGGUGAACGAAGUAAGCGGAAACGAGGCUGUCCGCGCGGUCAUAGACAAUGAAACGUCACUGACAUUGACAGAUGUCAACACUGUAAAUGUGACAGCUACGAGUUACGAAGAUCGAAACGUUAACAUCACGCAUGUAAACAAAUGUGUUCGGAAGCCGGUAAAAGACAUUAAAAUUAAUAAUACAGUUUUAAAUGCUCUCGUAGAUUCAGGUAGUGAUGUGAACCUAUUAUCUUUGUUGUAUUUACCUAUGUUGAACGCCGAAGUGGCGAGUGAAACGUUAACGAUGUCUGGAUUAGGCCGUAGUGAAAUACAAUCAAGGGGCAGCGUCUCUGUUGGACUUGAGAUUGAUAAUCAGUGUUUUAAUGGUGUAGUUUUUCAUUUAGUUCCACCAGAGGUGAUGCCCUACGACGUAAUAAUAGGUCAAGAGUUCCUGGGUCGUGUUACUGUGGAUGUGUAGCAGUCAAUGUUGAUCACAUUCAAGAUCCAGCAGUAAGGAGUGAGGUUAUGCAAUGUGUUGAGGAGUAUAAGCCAUUGUAUAAGGAAGAGGCCCCGAUCCAACUUCAAAUUGUAUUGAAGGAUGACAUCCCAGUGCGACAGCGACCCAGACGACUGUCACUUAUGGAGCAACAGGUAGUGGAAGAUCAAAUCGAGGAAUGGCUUGAUAAAGGCAUCGUGAGGCCUUGGAUGAAGUUCAGGCUGUAUCGAGGUUGAAGCAAGUGCUAGAAGUCGCAGCACAUUAUGGCUUGGAGAUUAAUUGGAAAAAGGCGAACCUACUGCAGCGUGAAGUUGAGUACUUGGGCCACAGGGUGAAGGAUGGAGA
rnacentral:misc_RNA from 1 species